AUUCCCCGCCUAUUCUGCCAAAUGUAACACUUUUAGUACUCAAUGUAGUUACUCUUUCUGAGGAAAACAUUAAAUUGCAGGUUUGUUGAGGUUCAUUUUCUUAGCAUACUAGAAAGUACAGUAACUGUCAUGUUUAAUUGGAACAGGACCUUUAAAAGAACAGUUAGCACAAUUUUAGUAAAUGUUAUUUUUAAAAAUAACUGAAGUCAUUCAAUCUUACCCAUACUGUGCAAGAUAUUUCUGCUUACAGGAGGUUACAUAAAAAAUACUAUUGGGAGAGGUCAAAGGUCCGUGCUGCUCAAGCUUUUCAAUUUUACUUUUUUCAGCACAUUACUAAAGCCUCUAAAUAUUGAUUGACUUAAAAGGGUACUUCUGGAAAACACAUAAAAUGCAUUUUACCUAAGCCAUCCCUAGAGAAUAUUAUUUUUAUAAGCAUCUGCUUGAACAAAGAAGAUGCACCGGAAAACUGAUCACUUGCUCAUGAAUAAUAAUUUCAUAUUCUUGCAUGCGCAUAGGGGAUUCAUAUUAAUGAAUUACAUUUUCAUAAUAAUAAUUUGAAUUAAUUUGCGAUAUUUCAACAG